AAUUCACAGUGCUACAGAGGAAUGCAAAAGGGGAAUGAAGACUGGGAGGUGAAGAAAAAUCUCUCCGAGGAAACAUUGCUGAGACCUGAAGAAAUGGAAUGUGAUAACAAGCACGUGGUUUGCUGAAGAGCACGUGCGAAGGCCCUCAGAAAUUGAUUCAGUGCUCGCUAUAUCCUAGAAUGAUGCUUGAAAUUUACAUCAUCUUCAUCUCUGACCACAACUGAACAACACAGGCCAACAAGACAUUUCUAUGGAUUAUGCCCUUCUUUCUUCCUGAUAUUGAAGGCAUCCCCUGAAGUUCUUAACACAGUACUCCAGUCACUGGGAAGAAUUAGAAAUUUUAGG